rnacentral:misc_RNA from 1 species
AAGUCGUAACAAGGUCUCCGUUGGUGAACCAGCGGAGGGAUCAUUACAGAGUUGCAAAACUCCCACAAACCAUCGCGAAUCUUACCCGUACGGUUGCCUCGGCGCUGGCGGUCCGGAAGGCCUUCGGGCCCCCGGACCCUCGGGUCUCCCGCUCGCGGGAGGCUGCCCGCCGGAGUGCCGAAACCAAACUCUUGAUAUUUUAUGUCUCUCUGAGUAAACUUUUAAAUAAGUCAAAACUUUCAACAACGGAUCUCUUGGUUCUG